AUUUAAGUAGUUUAAAAAAAACAUUACAUUUUCAUUGUAAAAACAAUAUCUUAUUCUUAAAUA
rnacentral:tRNA from 1 species